rnacentral:ncRNA from 1 species
GGCGUCUUUCUCGUGGAAAAGCACGCCUACCGGGGUGAGCGGCAUUCUAGCGACAGCCCCUGAGCGGUUAUUUCUUCAAUGCGACAAGUAAUUAUAGAAGCGCCGGAGAGAGGACCCCGGCAGCUUGACGUCGCGGAGUUUACGUGAUCCGAAAGCGGAUAGUAAAACCCAAUUUACCUGCAGUAAUUGGGCCACAAAUACCGAACCCCAGACACCUUGUGGGGUGCGCGAUAUCGACCCACUCCUGGCAGACAAGAAAGACGCACCGAAGCUGUGCAAAUUGUUUCCUGGCGCCUCAUUU